rnacentral:rRNA from 1 species
GAUGAACGCUGGCGGCGUGCUUAACACAUGCAAGUCGAACGGGAAACCUUUUAUUGAAGCUUCGGCAGAUUUAGAUUGUUUCUAGUGGCGGACGGGUGAGUAACGCGUGGGUAACCUGCCUUAUACAGGGGGAUAACAGUCAGAAAUGACUGCUAAUACCGCAUAAGCGCACAGAGCUGCAUGGCUCGGUGUGAAAAACUCCGGUGGUAUAAGAUGGACCCGCGUUGGAUUAGCUAGUUGGUGAGGUAAC